rnacentral:rRNA from 1 species
GACGAACGCUGGCGGCGUGCCUAAUACAUGCAAGUUGAGCGAUGAAGAUUGGUGCUUGCACCAAUUUGAAGAGCAGCGAACGGGUGAGUAACGCGUGGGGAAUCUGCCUUUGAGCGGGGGACAACAUUUGGAAACGAAUGCUAAUACCGCAUAACAACUUUAAACAUAAGUUUUAAGUUUGAAAGAUGCAAUUGCAUCACUCAAAGAUGAUCCCGCGUUGUAUUAGCUAGUUGGUGAGGUAAAGGCUCACCAAGGCGAUGAUACAUAGCCGACCUGAGAGGGUGGUCGGCCACAUUGGGACUGAGACACGGCCCAAACGCCUACGGGAGGCAGCAGUAGGGAAUCUUCGGCAAUGGACGAAAGUCUGACCGAGCAACGCCGCGUGAGUGAAGAAGGUUUUCGGAUCGUAAAACUCUGUUGGUAGAGAAGAACGUUGGUGAGAGUGGAAAGCUCAUCAAGUGACGGUAACUACCCAGAAAGGGACGGCUAACUACGUG